CUACGGGGCGCUGCAGUGAGGAAUAUUGCGCAAUGGGGGAAACCCUGACGCAGCGACGCCGCGUGGAUGAUGAAGGCCUUAGGGUCGUAAAAUCCUGUCAGGUGGGAAGAAGUGGAUAUAGAUUAAUACUCUAUUUCUUUGACGGUACCACCAAAGGAAGCACCGGCUAACUCCGUGCCAGCAGCCGCGGUAAUACGGAGGGUGCAAACGUUGUUCGGAAUUACUGGCGUAAAGCGCGCGUAGGCGGUUUGUUAAGUCAGAUGUGAAAGUCCAUGGCUCAACUAUGGAGGUGCAUUUGAAACUGGCAGACUAGAGUACUGGAGGGGGUGAUGGAAUUCCCGGUGUAGAGGUGAAAUUCGUAGAUAUCGGGAGGAAUACCGGUGGCGAAGGCGAUCACCUGGCCAGAUACUGACGCUGAGGUGCGAAAGCGUGGGGAGCAAACAGGAUUAGAUACCCCCGUAGUC
rnacentral:rRNA from 1 species